rnacentral:rRNA from 1 species
CCUACGGGUGGCUGCAGUCGAGAAUCAUUCACAAUGGGGGAAACCCUGAUGCUGCGACGCCGCGUGGGGGAAUGAAGGUCUUUGGAUUGUAAACCCCUGUCAUGUGGGAGCAAAUUAAAAAGAUAGUACCACAAGAGGAAGCGACGGCUAAAUCUGUGGCAGCAGCCGGCGCAAUCCAGAGGUCUCAGGCGUUGUUCGGAAUCACUGGGCGUAGAGCGUGGGUUGGCUGUAUCGUGAGGCGUGUGUGAAAGGCGCGGGCCCAACCCGCGGACGGCACAGGAUACAGCGGGACUAGAGUAAGGGAGAGGUAAGCGGAAUUCGCGGUGUAGCGGUGAAAUGCGUAGAUAUCGAGAGGAACACUCGUGGCGAAGGCGGGUUACUGGACAUUAACUGACGCUGAGGCACGAAGGCCAGGGUAGCGAAAGGGAUUAGAUACCCGAGUAGUC